rnacentral:rRNA from 1 species
GACAAUGGAGGCAACUCUGAUCCAGCCAUGCCGCGUGAAGGAAUAAGGCCCUAUGGGUUGUAAACUUCUUUUAGACGGGACAAAACCCCUUUACGUGUAAAGGGUUGAUGGUACUGUCAGAAUAAGCACCGGCUAACUCCGUGCCAGCAGCAGCGGUAAUACGGAGGGUGCGAGCGUUAUCCGGAUUUACUGGGAUUAAAGGGUGCGUAGGUGGGCUUAUAAGUCAGUGGUGGAAUCUCCGAGCUUAACUUGGAACUGCCGUUGAUACUAUAGGUCUUGAAUUAUCUGGAGGUAAGCGGAAUAUGUCAUGUAGCGGUGAAAUGCUUAGAUAUGACAUAGAACACCAAUUGCGAAGGCAGCUUACUACAUAUAAAUUGACGCUGAGGCACGAAAGCGUGGGGA